GGCCCAGAUCGUUUACCGUGAAAAAAUUAGAGUGUUCAAAGCAGGCAGAUCCAAUUUUCUGCCACCGAAUACAUUAGCAUGGGAUAAUGGAAUAGGACCCUGUCCUCCUAUUUUCAGUUGGUUUUGGCAGCGCGAGGACUAGGGUAAUGAUUAAUAGGGAUAGUUGGGGGCAUUAAUAUUUAAUUGUCAGAGGUGAAAUUCUUGGAUUUAUGAAAGAUUAACUUCUGCGAAAGCAUCUGCCAAGGAUGUUUUCAUUAAUCAAGAACGAAAGUUAGGGGAUCGAAGACGAUCAGAUACCGUCGUAGUCUUAACCAUAAACGAUGCCGACCAGCGAUUAGGAGACGUUGAAUACAAAACACCACCAUCGGUUGCGGUCGUCCUUGGCGUCUCGGUUUCGGCCGGGGCGCGGGGAUGGCUUAGCCCGGUGGCACCGGUGAAUGACUCCCUAGCAGCUUGUGAGAA
rnacentral:rRNA from 2 species